AGUGAACGCUGGCGGUAGGCCUAACACAUGCAAGUCGAACGGCAGCACAGUAAGAGCUUGCUCUUACGGGUGGCGAGUGGCGGACGGGUGAGGAAUACAUCGGAAUCUACUUUUUCGUGGGGGAUAACGUAGGGAAACUUACGCUAAUACCGCAUACGACCUACGGGUGAAAGCAGGGGAUCUUCGGACCUUGCGCGAUUGAAUGAGUCGAUGUCGGAUUAGCUAGUUGGCGGGGUAAAGGCCCACCAAGGCGACGAUCCGUAGCUGGUCUGAGAGGAUGAUCAGCCACACUGGAACUGGGACACGGUCCAGACUCCUACGGGAGGCAGCAGUGGGGAAUAUUGGACAAUGGGCGCAAGCCUGAUCCAGCCAUACCGCGUGGGUGAAGAAGGCCUUCGGGUUGUAAAGCCCUUUUGUUGGGAAAGAAAAGCAGCAGGUUAAUACCCCGCUGUUCUGACGGUACCCAAAGAAUAAGCACCGGCUAACUUCGUG
rnacentral:rRNA from 1 species